rnacentral:misc_RNA from 1 species
AAACACAUGGGCUCCCAGAAUGCAACAAUUUUGGCGGGAGAUAUUGAAGAUUGAAAAUCAAAUUACUGUCAUUAAAAGGUUUGAUGUCCGCACGUCGAAUGUGAUCCGGGAUGUAAUAUGUUCAAGGGUAAGUGAACGUCAGCAUAAACUCUUAGGCGGGUAUAGACUAAUCAAUAUUUGCGCAAACUUAUUGCUCGCACUUGCUGUCCAUGACGUCAUAAAUUUGAAAUUGAUCAAAGAUGGCUGACAGGACUGUACAAAAUUUCGCCGACUAGUUUUGCUAAAUAUCGGUCGUGAAAUUGUGUGAAAGGAAUACAUCUGACAUAAGCAGACAACAAUGAAAUGACAUAUAGCAUAUCUCAAAUAUAUUUUACCAAUUUCUGGCAGUGAACCGAAUCAAAUUAGUCAUAGAUAGAACUAUAGCUGAAAGAAAUCACUCUAAGUCAAAAUUUGGAUAUAAGUAUCAGGAUGGCAACUUUGGAUGAGUUUGCGGCAUCAGUGUCUACUCAAGACACCCGUAAGAGGCUGCAGGUUCAUGGGGAUCUAGUACGACACCUGCAGGACCCCAUAUGUUCAAUAUCAUGUGAGGACUUUGAUCAGUUCAUUGAAGGACUCGUUGGUUGGGUUAACUGCAGCAACUAUAAGGUAUCUUUAAAUGGCCUGGAGGUGCUGGGACUAUUGGUGAACAGGUGUGGGGAGAACUUCAAGAUGCAUGUCAGCAAUAUUCUUCCUGCAGUGAUGAACCGAUUAGGAGACAACAAGGAUGAUGUAAGAGAGGGAGCACAGGAUCUCCUGCUUAAACUUAUGGUGCCAGCUUCAUCCGCCCAGUAUGUGUUCGACCGUAUCAUGACAGGUUUCAAGCACAAGUUAUGGAGAGUGCGAGAACAAGUGCUGUUAUGCUUAGCCAGUACUAUAAAUCAUUAUGGUGCCAAAUCUCUCACAUUGUCCAAGAUUGUUCCUUCCAUAUGCAAGUGUCUUGAAGACCAAAGUGGACCUGUCCGAGAUGCUGCUACUGCUGCACUAGUUGAGAUAUAUCGCCAUGUAGGGGAGAGGGUACGGAAUGAUCUCAGUAAAAAAGAAAUUAGCGCAUCCAAAUUAAAAAUUCUGUUUGAAAGGUUUGAUCAAGUGAAACGUAGUGGAGACAUGCUUCCUACAGCAGACCUUGCAUUAUGGGGAAAUGAUGACACAGAUUUCGCCAAACCCCAUGGGGCGGCACCAAAAAAGAUGAUGGCUAGCACAGGACGUAAGAGCAUGAUGCCUACCAGUCGGUCUUCAGGCUCAGGGACUGCAGCUGGUGGGGUAGAUGAAUCAAUGUUUAUUAAAGAAUUUGAAAAUGUUCCAAAAGUCAGUUUUUUCUCUGGUAGAGAGUUAGAUGAUCACAUGGAAAAGAUCCGAGCAGCACUAACAGACCUGAAUCAUGACACUUGGGAAAAACGUGUAGAAGCUUUACGUACACUGCGGGCAUUGAUGAUAGCAGGAGCGAUGGACCAUGAAGACUUUAGAUCAAAUCUGAAGAAUCUGGAGAGUUGUACUAUACAGGCAGCUAAAGAUCUCCGUUCUCAGGUUGUCAGAGAGGCCUGUAUCACAUUAGCGUAUCUAGCUCAGCAAUUAGGAAACAAGUUUGAUAAGUUUGCAGAAGCAGUAUUUCCUACCCUUAUCAACCUUGUACCCAACAGUGCUAAAAUCAUGGCCAGCUCUGGAACAGUAUGCAUACGUUUCAUUGUACAGAACACACAUGCGCCUAGGUUAUUGCCCAUCAUAUUUGGUAAUCUUUCAUCGAAAUCAAGUGUACUAAGAAGAACAUCAUUUGAGCUACUAGACUUCCUCCUCCACACAUGGGAGACCCAUACUUUAGAGAGACAUAUAGCUCAGCUCCAGGAUGCUAUCAAGAAGGGUCUAACAGAUGCAGAUUCAGAAGCAAGGGCUCAUGCUAGGAAGGCAUUCUGGGGUUUCCAUGAGCACUUCCAAGGCCAGGCCCAGAGUUUGCUCAACAAUUUAGACAGUAAGAGUCAGAAGAUGCUACAGGGUGAACUCAGCAACUCUUCUAGUAACAACUCCAUAGCAAGUACAGGGCGACUCACUAUGUCUGCCCCAAGUAAACGUACAAGGUCUGUCAGCCAAGACCGGGCAGGCAGUGAGUCAUCAUAUGGGAGGACUUCUACAGGACCAAGACGGUCCAUGGUCCCCAAAGUUGCCAGCCCUAGGAGUGACACUACAGCCCGACAACGAACACGUUCCUCAAAUUCUACCUCGAAAGGCAUGUCGAAUACAUUAUCUACUCCCGACAGGAGUGCAAGGCAAAGGUCACGGAUAGGUGUCUCUGCUUCACAACCCGGCAGUAGAUCCACUUCUCCGACAUCACGUAUGAAUUAUAUCACAUACCAGCAACCUGAUCAGGGUAUGUUGGCCCCUGGGUCAGCUGGGGGCCCCAGGCGUAGGUCUGGGAUCCCUCGUAGUCAGGGGGCAAGUAGAGAAACAAGUCCAUCGAGCAUGUCCAGGGUUGGAUACAGUCGAGAAAGGCGUACAAGUGGCAGUAGAUCACAGCCCAGGCCAAAGGGGGCCCAGAGGGUACUAGGACUUGGAAAUGUAGAAGCUGCAGAACAAAUACUGGCAGAUAAACUGAGACAACCACUGCGUAAACGUUAUGACACAUACGACUCUGAUGAUGCCAGUGAGACAUCCAGUAUAUGCAGUGACAGAUCCUAUGGCUCAUAUAGCAGAGCAUCUGAGUAUUCUGACAGUGGUCGACGAAGAUCAGGUUAUGGAAAGGAUGUGUCAGAUAUCCUAGCUAACAUGUCCAGUUCAUCCUGGGCUGAUAGGAAAGAGGGACUAAUAGCCCUGCAAGGCCUGCUCAGUGGUUCAAGAUACCUAAAUCGUAUUGAAUUGAAAAAAGUUACAGAAAUAUUUACCAGAAUGUUCCAUGACCCACAUGGGAAGGUUUUUAGUAUGUUCCUGGAGACGUUAGUUGACUUUCUCUCUGUACAUAGGCAAGAUUUAAAUGACUGGUUAUACAUAUUACUAACCAGACUGCUGAACAAAAUGGGCUCUGAUAUGUUAGGCUCUAUACAAAUGAAGGUUCUCAAAGCAUUAGAUUUGGUUAGGGAAUCUUUUCCAUAUGACAGCCAGUUUAAAUUACUAACAAAAUUCAUAAUAGACCAGACACAAACGCCAAAUCUUAAAGUUAAAAUAGCCCUAUUAAACUACUUGCAUCAAUUGAGCACAGUCAUGGACCCAAGUGACUUUAAUAACUCUAGUGACACCAGGCUGGCUAUAUCCAGAAUCAUCACAUGGACAACUGAGCCAAAAAGUGCGGAAGUUAGAAAGGCAGCCCAAUCCUGUCUUAUAGCCAUGUUUAACCUGAACACACCAGAGUUUUCUAUGAUGCUGUCCCACCUGCCAAAAACAUUCCAGGAUGGUGCCACUAAGAUUCUACACAAUCACUUGAGGAGAGGGAGUCAAGAGCAUGAGGUUCUCUCCCCAAGGAACGUUGCUAGUCCACAGACAGCCCCCUCCCCCAGACCUCGGACAUCAUCCAGGACGUUUUCUAGUGACACAAAUCAAGAAACAGAAAAUAUGAAUCCCCAAGAUAUAUUUAACUCAAUUAAAAAGACUACAGCAGACAUUCAAAAUUUAAAUGCAUCAUAUAAUGACACUAAAAAGGAGAGAGACAGUACAUCACAGGAUAGUGGAAUACAGAGUUCAUUGCCAGAUGUUAGUAGGAUAGAUAGCCCAAGUAACAAAGGAGUAAAUCAUGCAGAGUCACCCAGGGCUGUCCUUGCUAGACAGCAGUAUAAUCCAGCUUCAUAUCAAGAUGAGCAAAAUAACUACAAUCGUGCAGCAUUGGCAGAGGCUGUGUUUGAUGUUGAGAAUGAAUUGUUCAAUGAAGAAUUACCAGACCAGCAAGAUAUGAUAUCAGAAAUCCUAGCAGAACUAUCCAAUCACAACGAGCGCCAAGAAGAGCGCAAGAAUGCCAUGUUAACUCUAAUAAAGAUGACACGGGAAGGAACUAUGGCACUAUGGGAUGAACAUUUUAAGACAGUUUUGUUGCUCCUACUUGAAACACUGGGAGAUGAUGAUGGUCACAUCCGAGCUUUGUCUCUGCGUACAUUGCGUGAGAUAAUGAGGCAUCAACCAGACAGGUUCAAGGAAUAUGAUGGCCUCACCAUUCUCAAGAUAUUAGAGGCCCAUAAAGAUUCACAGAAAGAGGUGGUGCGAGCAGCAGAAGAAUGUGCAAUGACAUUAGCUAAGUCUGUACCAUGUGACCAAUGUGUGCGGGUACUUAAGCCAAUCGUAGAGACAGCUGCGUAUCCAAUCAACCUAGCUGGUAUCAAGAUGCUUACCAAGGUUGUUGAAGGAAUGGAGGAUAAAGCUGCCUGUGAGAAGCUGUUGUCUCAAAUGAUACCUGGUCUGAUACGUGGCUAUGAUAACAGUGAGAGCAGUGUGCGUAAGGCCAGUGUAUUCUGUCUUGUGGCCCUCUAUAACAUCAUGGGAGAAGACCUGAAAGUGCACCUAGGAGAUCUCAAUGGCAGCAAGAUGAAGUUAUUGAACUUGUACAUCAAACGUGCAAAGUCCCAGUCUACCAGUCCAUCAAAGGCAGUCUCUCCUACGUCAUCAGAUGGUGGUCACAUGACAGUCUAGCCUAGCAACACAAUGGAUUUGAUUGCAGUAGACACAAUGGUUGCCAAAGGAUCAAGAGUGUUUCUAUGUGGAAACAUAGUAAACAGUGAACUGUGUCUUGAUGACAUUCACAGUUUGGUAACAUAGAACUAUGAUAAUAACACCUGUCACACUGACAUCAUCAUAGUGACAUCAUCAUAAUGACAUCAUCACUGAUCCUGAUUCAUUUGAAACACAGGUGAUUUGAAUUGGAUCACAUUUACAGUGCACCCUGAUGGUGAUAGAGAAAUCCUGUUAAAUGUUCCAUUAAGUAAGGCUCUAAGAGACUAAAUGGAAGUACAGUCAUAAUAUAAGACAUCCCAAGAGCUUACUUGAAACUGAGGUAUAGUAGACGCUAAUGCAUUCUGCCAGUAUGAUCCUCCUGUACAGUCUAAAGCUAAAUAGAGGAAAUCGCAAACUGAGUGUUGGGUGAAGACAUUCUUAUUAGGUGGAAAACACUAUUGCUGUAAUUUCUUAAUGUUGUUGGAUGCAGUCAGUUGAUCCUAGUUUACACUUGAUCUGCUGGUAAGUCAUUGUAUAGACAAGCAAUUGGACCAGUUGCAUCACAGAGUCACUGGACUGGUAAAUCAUUGAAUAAACUAGCAAUUGGACCAGUUGCAUCAC